rnacentral:rRNA from 1 species
AUUGAACGCUGGCGGCAGGCCUAACACAUGCAAGUCGAACGAGUGGCGGACGGGUGAGUAAUGUCUGGGAAACUGCCUGAUGGAGGGGGAUAACUACUGGAAACGGUAGCUAAUACCGCAUACCAUCAGAUGUGCCCAGAUGGGAUUAGCUAGUUGGUGGGGAAACGGCUCACCAAGGCGACGAUCCCUAGCUGGUCUGAGAGGAUGACCGCCACAACUGGAACGGAGACACGGUCCAGAUUCCUACGGGAGGCAGCAGUGGGGAAUUUUGCAAAAUGGGGGAAAGCCUGAUGCAGCAAUGCCGCGUGUAUGAAGAAGGCCUUGGGGUUGAAAAGUACUUCCAGCGGGGAGGCGUUACCCGCAGAAGAAGCACCGGCUAACUCCGUGCCAGCAGCCGCGGUAAUAC